CUACGGGAGGCUCCAGUGGGGAAUAUUGCACAAUGGAGGAAACUCUGAUGCAGCAACGCCGCGUGGAGGAUGACACUUUUCGGAGCGUAAACUCCUUUUAUAUAGGAAGAAGAUGACGGUACUAUAUGAAUAAGCGCCGGCUAACUCCGUGCCAGCAGCCGCGGUAAUACGGAGGGCGCAAGCGUUACUCGGAAUCACUGGGCGUAGAGAGCGUGUAGGCGGAUUAAAAAGUCAGAAGUGAAAUCCUAUAGCUUAACUAUAGAACUGCUUCUGAAACUCUUAAUCUAGAAUAUGGGAGAGGUAGAUGGAAUUCCUGGUGUAGGGGUAAUAUCCGUAGAGAUCAGAAGGAAUACCGAUUGCGAAGGCGAUCUACUAGAACAUUAUUGACGCUGAGACGCGAAAGCGUGGGGAGCAAACAGGAUUAGAUACCCGUGUAGUC
rnacentral:rRNA from 1 species